UAUAGUUGUUGGGAUUUGGGGUGGCAACUUGAUUGAGAACUCAUAUAGGUGGUCAACAACUGAAGGCAAUAAAUCUAUUGUCCUUGCCACUAUGCUUCGUAAGGAUUGCAAAUACGGAAAUCUAGAAACUUCAAAUUACACCAUUCUUGCAUUCAACCCGGAUCAUACUGCAGCACGCGCACUUGAUGAUAUUCGCCAGAAAAUAAUAGGUGGGUUGAUUGAUAUGAAGUUUGUUCACCAAUUUAUUGAGUGGAGGUGAGCUUUCCUAGCAAGCGAGUUGUCUACAAAGGAUCCCGACACAGGAUGUAUACAAAGAAAGCUCGGCGCAUGUAGUAAGAUAGUAGACAUUGGUUAUGCCUAUUAUAGGAUGUAUACAAAGAAAGCUCGGCGCAUGUAGUAAGAUAGUAGACAUUGGUUAUGCCUAUUACGCAUGAUUGUGUGUUUCAAUUUGUAAGUGUAGUUAUCACGUACUUGUUUUGUAUCUACUAUGUAGGUGACUGUUUCGUCAUGUUUGUUUGUGUCUAUGGUGUUUUAAGGGAUGUGCUAAUUUCACGGAUGAUUUAGUUAUUAUCUACAUUUAAAAACAAGUUUGUCCA